rnacentral:piRNA from 1 species
UGGGAAGAGAGGGUGGCCUCUGUGCCCCAGGU